CGGAGCCGCAGCGAAAGCGAGUCUGAAUAGGGCGUUUAGUACGUGGUCGUAGACCCGAAACCAGGUGAUCUACCCAUGUCCAGGGUGAAGUUCAGGUAACACUGAAUGGAGGCCCGAACCCACGCACGUUGAAAAGUGCGGGGAUGAGGUGUGGGUAGCGGAGAAAUUCCAAUCGAACCUGGAGAUAGCUGGUUCUCCCCGAAAUAGCUUUAGGGCUAGCCUUAAGUGUAAGAGUCUUGGAGGUAGAGCACUGAUUGAACUAGGGGUCCUCAUCGGAUUACCGAAUUCAGUCAAACUCCGAAUGCCAAUGACUUAUCCUUAGGAGUCAGACUGCGAGUGAUAAGAUCCGUAGUCAAGAGGGAAACAGCCCAGAUCGCCAGCUAAGGUCCCAAAGUGUGUAUUAAGUGGAAAAGGAUGUGGAGUUGCUUAGACAACUAGGAUGUUGGCUUAGAAGCAGCCACCAUUUAAAGAGUGCGUAAUAGCUCACUAGUCGAGUGACUCUGCGCCGAAAAUGUACCGGGGCUAAAUACACCACCGAAGCUGCGAAUUGAUACCAAUGGUAUCAGUGGUAGGGGAGCGUUCUAAGUGCAGUGAAGUCAGACCGGAAGGACUGGUGGAGCGCUUAGAAGUGAGAAUGCCGGUAUGAGUAGCGAAAGACGGGUGAGAAUCCCGUCCACCGAAUGCCUAAGGUUUCCUGAGGAAGGCUCGUCCGCUCAGGGUUAGUCAGGACCUAAGCCGAGGCCGACAGGCGUAGGCGAUGGACAACAGGUUGAUAUUCCUGUACCACCUCUUUAUCGUUUGAGCAAUGGAGGGACGCAGAAGGAUAGAAGAAGCGUGCGAUUGGUUGAGCACGUCCAAGCAGUUAGGCUGAUAAGUAGGCAAAUCCGCUUAUCGUGAAGGCUGAGCUGUGAUGGGGAAGCUCCUUAUGGAGCGAAGUCUUUGAUUCCCCGCUGCCAAGAAAAGCUUCUAGCGAGAUAAAAGGUGCCUGUACCGCAAACCGACACAGGUAGGCGAGGAGAGAAUCCUAAGGUGUGCGAGAGAACUCUGGUUAAGGAACUCGGCAAAAUGACCCCGUAACUUCGGGAGAAGGGGUGCUUUCUUAACGGAAAGCCGCAGUGAAUAGGCCCAAGCGACUGUUUAGCAAAAACACAGGUCUCUGCGAAGCCGUAAGGCGAAGUAUAGGGGCUGACACCUGCCCGGUGCUGGAAGGUUAAGGAGAGGGGUUAGCGUAAGCGAAGCUCUGAACUGAAGCCCCAGUAAACGGCGGCCGUAACUAUAACGGUCCUAAGGUAGCGAAAUUCCUUGUCGGGUAAGUUCCGACCCGCACGAAAGGUGUAACGAUUUGGGCACUGUCUCAACCAGAGACUCGGUGAAAUUAUAGUACCUGUGAAGAUGCAGGUUACCCGCGACAGGACGGAAAGACCCCGUGGAGCUUUACUGUAGCCUGAUAUUGAAUUUUGGUACAGUUUGUACAGGAUAGGCGGGAGCCAUUGAAACCGGAGCGCUAGCUUCGGUGGAGGCGCUGGUGGGAUACCGCCCUGACUGUAUUGAAAUUCUAACCUACGGGUCUUAUCGACCCGGGAGACAGUGUCAGGUGGGCAGUUUGACUGGGGCGGUCGCCUCCUAAAGUGUAACGGAGGCGCCCAAAGGUUCCCUCAGAAUGGUUGGAAAUCAUUCGUAGAGUGCAAAGGCAUAAGGGAGCUUGACUGCGAGACCUACAAGUCGAGCAGGGACGAAAGUCGGGCUUAGUGAUCCGGUGGUUCCGCAUGGAAGGGCCAUCGCUCAACGGAUAAAAGCUACCCCGGGGAUAACAGGCUUAUCUCCCCCAAGAGUCCACAUCGACGGGGAGGUUUGGCACCUCGAUGUCGGCUCAUCGCAUCCUGGGGCUGUAGUCGGUCCCAAGGGUUGGGCUGUUCGCCCAUUAAAGCGGUACGCGAGCUGGGUUCAGAACGUCGUGAGACAGUUCGGUCCCUAUCCGUCGUGGGCGUAGGAAAUUUGAGAGGAGCUGUCCUUAGUACGAGAGGACCGGGAUGGACGCACCGCUGGUGUACCAGUUGUUCUGCCAAGGGCAUAGCUGGGUAGCUAUGUGCGGAAGGGAUAAGUGCUGAAAGCAUCUAAGCAUGAAGCCCCCCUCAAGAUGAGAUUUCCCAUAGCGUAAGCUAGUAAGAUCCCUGAAAGAUGAUCAGGUUGAUAGGUUCGAGGUGGAAGCAUGGUGACAUGUGGAGCUGACGAAUACUAAUAGAUCGAGGACUUAACCAU
rnacentral:rRNA from 1 species